UAGUCAAUGCUCGCAAGAGUGAACUAGCUAACUGAAAUCAUAAAGUUUCUUUAAACUUGUGAUGUCGUAAGGGAAAAUAAUGAUAAUACCUUACUAAUAGUGUCGUCCAAAUCUGGUGCCAGAAGACUCGGUAAGACCAGAGACGCAAACGUUAAUCAUCUUAAUCAGGCGUAAAGGGUUUGUAGGCAGCUUUCAUCUUAUUUAUAAAUUUUAAUAAUAUAAGGGACUACGAAUAAAAAAAUAAAAGUAGUUUUUAGAAAGCUAGAAUCAAAAAGAGGUUAUAGUGUAUAACGCCUAGAUGAGGGCUAAAAUCCUUAGAUCCUAGGCAGAGUACUAAAGGCGAAGGCCACUCUCCACUAAUGAUUGACGCUGAGAAACGAAGGYUAGGAUAGGAAAUAGGAUUAGAUACCCCGGUACUCCUUUCUGUAAACGAUGAAUGGUAGUCUUUAGUCCAAAAACUAGAAACGAAGUUAACACAAUAACCAUUCCGCCUUGUGAGUACUACUGCAAAGUAGAAAACAAAAAAAUUAGUCGGUCUCGAAGCAAACGGAGUGAAGCAUGUUAUUUAAU
rnacentral:rRNA from 1 species